rnacentral:rRNA from 1 species
UCGAACGGAGGUAGCAAUACCUCAGUGGCGGACGGGUGAGUAACGCGUGAGAAUCUGCCUUCAGGUUCGGGACAACCACUGGAAACGGUGGCUAAUACCGGAUGUGCUUUACGGUGAAAGAUUUAUCGCCUGAAGAGGAGCUCGCGUCUGAUUAGCUAGUUGGUAGGGUAAAAGCCUACCAAGGCGACGAUCAGUAGCUGGUCUGAGAGGAUGAUCAGCCACACUGGGACUGAGACACGGCCCAGACUCCUACGGGAGGCAGCAGUGGGGAAUUUUCCGCAAUGGGCGAAAGCCUGACGGAGCAAGACCGCGUGAGGGAGGAAGGCUCUUGGGUUGUAAACCUCUUUUCUCAGGGAAGAACACAAUGACGGUACCUGAGGAAUCAGCCUCGGCUAACUCCGUGCCAGCAGCCGCGGUAAUACGGAGGAGGCAAGCGUUA